AAGAUGGUUGGAUAAGGUAAAGGAAAAAAAAAGUCUGGCUAUGUUCUCCAGAAUAUAGGGAGUUUACAAAUAACUGGAGGAAAGUUUGAACUGCAUAGCAAUCAUGGAUCACAUCAGGGUGGUACCAGCUGUGUGUGCUGAGGACUGUGGAAAGGAGGCAUGGAAGAAGGAAAGCUUCCUUACACACACAAGAGCACAGCUGAUCCCUAAAGCUGAUGGGCAGAGAUCAGGUGUGGGUGGGAGGCAGAUUUCAGACACAGCUGCCCAUUGUCUUGACAUAAGCAGGAGAGCCUGACUACUUCUGCUAGUGGCUAAAGAGGUGAUGCUGUGUGUGGCUGGUGCUAAGGAACUUCAAACCUCUUCUAGAUCCUGUAUGGAAUGAAGAAGACCAGGAUCCAAAGGUCCUGCCGACGUCCUGCACUGCCCUGCCUCUGCCAUGCAAAUGAUUACAGCCUUCCUACUGACAUCCAGGAAACUAAAUUGGAGAAGCAAGGGGCCCGUGUUAUGUGUGGACACAAGGAACAGCAAAAGAAUGAUAUAAAGCACUCCUGUAGCUCCUACUGCAACAGCCUGGUUAAUUUCAGGUCUCCUUAAAGCUGAAUCUUGCAUCACAAAGGGUACAUUUCCAUGCAAGAACAAAAUGGUGACAAUCUCUGUAGGUAUCUACCAGGCUGCAUUCCUGCUGAAAUGAUUUAGUGCAGAUGAAGUAUUGUGUUACUGAUAGCAGCGUGCUCAAAUCUAAAUCCAGAUGGGUUGUUGUAAACUUCUUGGGUCUCCCAUUUUGCAGUAAAGUCGCAUCGUUAUCACAUUGCAUAGCUCAUGGUUUAAACUUGCAUUGUAAUGGCCACACAAGGAACUGCAUUUAUUGUGACUAUAUGGAAGGAUAGAGAGAGAGAACUUGAAACUUGUUGGCUGGAAAGAGUUACAAGCACAUACAGCUUGUAAGCACCUCCUCAUCAUAUUCAAGUUUGUCAUAUCUGAAUAAAUAUGCUUGGAAAUUGUCCAUCACGAGGGAAAACAGUCAUCUCAAGGGUACUGCUGAAAGCAUGUGUCAAAGGUAAGGCUGUGGGCAUGUAAAUUGAUUGAGAGUACUUAAUUGGCACUGUUUUCUUUAGCACACUGAUGUCAUUCCAGAACAACCCAACCCCCAGCACGUUAACAGCAGGUUAUACUCUGAGCCUAUUUACUUCACAAGGUUAU